rnacentral:rRNA from 1 species
GACGAACGCUGGCGGCGUGCCUAACACAUGCAAGUCGAACGGGAUCCGCAAGGAUUCAGUGGCGCACGGGUGCGUAACACGUGAGGAACAUAGCCAUCGGCGGGGAUAGCCGGCCCAACGGCCGGGUAAUACCGCGUACGAUCUUCGGGGGGCGAUCCUCUGGAGAUGAAAGCAGCAAUGCGCCGAUGGGGUGCCUCGCGGCCUAUCAGCUAGUUGGUGAGGUAANGGCUCACCAAGGCUACGACGGGUAGCUGGUCCGAGAGGAUGACCAGCCACAUUGGGACUGAGACACGGCCCAGACUCCUACGGGAGGCAGCAGGUGGGGAAUAUUGCGCAAGUGGGGGAAACCCUGACGCAGCGACGCCGCGUGUGGGAUGAAGGUCUUCGGAUUGUAAACCACUGGUCGCGAGGGACG